ACAAUAAACUGAAACUAACUACUUCUACUCCCUCUGUGCUAGUUGUGCUUUUGGGUCCAGCCUCUGUGUACCAUAACAUGUGGAUACAAUACACAGAGCUGAAUAAAGCUCCUGGAUCCUCCCAUGCUGCUAAGCAUCAGUAUCUUAGCAUUGUGAGCAUGUUAGCAUGAUGACAUUAGCAUUUAGCUCAGUAAAGCACUGUUCUUGGUCAUUGUAUGAGUGCAAUUUUUGUUGAGAUGUCUACAUAAUGACUUUUAUUCUAAAGAAGAUCAUAGAGAAAUUUGCAUGGAUCGGCCUGUAUAGAGAGUCAUGGAAGUGGUCAGAUGGUCAGCCCGUGCAUAUGACUUCAAUCAGCAACUGGAAUAAGGGUCAGCCUGAUAAAAUCAAACAUUCAUGUGUGACUACAACUCACAGUACAUAGGAUGCACGGCUUUGUAACGACAAAUAUGCUUUUGUCUGCAGCGAAGUUCAAACAGUGACUGAAGGACUACGACCUGGGUGAACCAGUCAGACUGAAAUGGAUAAAGCAGCCUGAUGGAAAGAUCUUCCAUUUUGAAAAAAAAAAAACAGAAGAUGAGAAGGGGAAAAA